UUCAGUUUGUUUCAUUUGUUGAGAUCAGAAUAAUUUCUUCUCCAAAAGCUUGUCCUAUUUUAGUAAAUGGUGCUGUUAGAAAGGGAAAGUGACUAGUGCCACCUUCUACUCUUAAGCUUUUGAUGAGGAUCGCAUUUCCAGCACCCUUAGCUCGAGUUAAGGUGUUUGUGAUGUUUUUAUUUGGUGUUUGACUCAAAAUCCUAAGUGUUAUAAGCAGUGGUAACUAAGCAAACAAAAAUAAGGCUCUUCAAUCCAUCAUUGAGGUACAAACUGAAAAGAAAAUAUCCAAACUAAAAAUUUGCAAGAUAGAUAUUUUGGACAUAUGAGAUUGAAGCCUCUUGGGAGGAUUUGUCUUGUCUUGGGGUGCUGAUGUUCGUCUUAUCCUUAGGAUGCUGUGAUGAUGGAGGUUAUUGUUCUGUUCAGCUAGAAGAGGUCGGUUAGCCUAAGAGUGCUAUACAGAUUAAUGAUGCAGGGAAUGAUGAUGCUAGUCUGAUUGCUGACUAAGUUUCAAACUAUCCCGUUUUUGACUAAAGCUUUUGAUGGACGGCUCUAAUUGUCGAGGCAAAUGGAGUUGGGUUGUAGUGUGAUGACGCUAUGGUAGUCCUUGGAUUUUUUUGGUUUUAACAAGGAGCUUGUAAAUACUCAUGAUGGUGGCCUCAUCUACUUGGCAACCUGAUUUUAUUUUUUCAUGUUUUCAUGAUGGUUUUUGCGGCCUUGACUUUGAUAGAAAGCUUAGGGUCCUGUAUAUCUUGGCUUCUUUUACCACACAUGGGUAGACUUUUGUAA